rnacentral:rRNA from 1 species
GGGCCCGCACAAGCAGUGGAGUAUGUGGUUUAAUUCGAAGCAACGCGAAGAACCUUACCAGGUCUUGACAUCCCCCUUGACAGGCGUAGAGAUACGCUCUUCUUCGGACAAGGGUGACAGGUGGUGCAUGGUUGUCGUCAGCUCGUGUCGUGAGAUGUUGGGUUAAGUCCCGCAACGAGCGCAACCCUUAUGUUUAGUUGCUACGCAAGAGCACUCUAGACAGACUGCCGUUGACAAAACGGAGGAAGGUGGGGAUGAUGUCAAAUCAUCAUGCCCCUUAUGACCUGGGCUACACACGUACUACAAUGGCCGUUAACAGAGGGAAGCAAUACCGUGAGGUGGAGCAAACCCUAAAAACGGUACUCAGUUCAGAUUGUAGGCUGAAACUCGCCUACAUGAAGUUGGAAUUGCUAGUAAUCGCGGAUCAGCAUGCCG